rnacentral:rRNA from 1 species
AAUACGUAGGGGGCAAGCGUUAUCCGGAUUUACUGGGUGUAAAGGGAGCGUAGACGGCGAGACAAGUCUGAAGUGAAAGCCCGGGGCUCAACCCCGGGACUGCUUUGGAAACUGCCUUGCUAGAGUGCUGGAGAGGUAAGUGGAAUUCCUAGUGUAGCGGUGAAAUGCGUAGAUAUUAGGAGGAACACCAGUGGCGAAGGCGGCUUACUGGACAGUAACUGACGUUGAGGCUCGAAAGCGUGGGGAGCAAACA